AAAGGUUCUGACUCGCCGCAGCGACCGCUGGUGGACUCCCAACGACAGCCGCCCAAAUACAGUUUCCAGCGCGAUUUUUUCUAAUUUUUCUAAUUUUCGCCCCGUCCAACCACUACGCGAAAAAAUUUCAAACAUUCCAAUACCUUGUGCAUCUCUGCCUUGAUAUCGAGAACUUAAGUUGAGCUUCCUUGAGUGUACCUCGUGGUGGUUUUCCUUUGAUGCAACGUUCGAGGAUGAAUUGAACCACUUGGUUUCGUUGUUCCGAGGAGUAUUCACGAGGCCUCAUCCUCUCUUUUGUUUCUAUUUUGAUCUUUCCAGUUUGACGGGAUGUGUGAAUUUCGGAUUAUGUAUUUAUAGGCAGUAAAUGCUUAAAUUAGGCGCCAAGUCUGUAAUUGUUUUGUUCUUUUGGUUCUGCCGCCAUUUACAGAAUUUGGGAGGUGGAUUUGUAAUCUAUUUUUGGUUCUACCGCUAAGUAAUGAAACUUUAUUAGACUUGAUUCGA